CUCCGAUUUUGGAACCGAAAGCUGAGGUUAUCCGCUCACUUAUCCUCAAACAUACCCGGGUAUGUCACAUAACCUGCUUUCUGGAAUACACCCCAGUUUGUUAUUGAUUGAUUCUAGCACACAUACCUCUGUUCGUAGUGCUGCUCUCCCGGCGUGGUUGCUUUUUCUUUGCCUGUGGCAUGUCUAGAUCUGAGAACCAUUUAAUGGCCUUCCGGAGAGUUAUUGAACCUGCGUCCCGCAGCAUGGCACGUGUGACCAGAGCAAAGACAGCUACGAGGAGUGAAGUUGAGUAACAAGCAAUGCAAUGUGUCAGUCUCCGCAGCCCUUCGAUGAGUUCCUCUUCAUGGUCCAGCUUUCCGUUGGUCUUCCACAGAGAGAUCUGGCCGUACACAAAACACUUGGGAUGGAUUCAUUUGGUUUUAUUUGUACAGAC